UGGCGGACGGGUGAGUAACGCGUGGAAAACCUGCCGUAUACUGGGGGAUAACACUUAGAAAUAGGUGCUAAUACCGCAUAAGCGCACAGCUUCGCAUGAAGCGGUGUGAAAAACUCUGGUGGUAUACGAUGGUUCCGCGUCUGAUUAGCUAGUUGGUGGGGUAAUGGCCUACCAAGGCAACGAUCAGUAGCCGGCCUGAGAGGGUGAACGGUCACAUUGGGACUGAGACACGGCCCAAACUCCUACGGAAGGCAGCAG
rnacentral:rRNA from 1 species